GACGAACGCUGGCGGCGUGCUUAACACAUGCAAGUCGAGCGGGGUCCAACCACUGGCAACAGUGGGGAAGACCUAGCGGCGAACGGGUGAGUAACACGUGAGGAACCUGCCCCAAAGACCGGGAUAACCCUCCGAAAGGAGAGCUAAUACCGGAUGCCCUCAUCGGAUCGCAUGGUCUGAUGAGGAAAUGGAUUCCGCUUUGGGAGGGCCUCGCGGCCUAUCAGCUUGUUGGUGAGGAACGGCUCACCAAGGCAUCGACGGGUAGCUGGUCUGAGAGGACGACCAGCCACACUGGAACUGAGACACGGUCCAGACACCUACGGGUGGCAGCAGUCGAGAAUUUUUCACAAUGGGCGAAAGCCUGAUGGAGCGACGCCGCGUGGGGGAUGAAUGGCUUCGGCCCGUAAACCCCU
rnacentral:rRNA from 1 species